UUCCCAAGCUUCCCGACCCUUCCUCUGCUAGAAUUUCUUCUCUUUUCCUUCAGGGUUUGAACUUUACAUGGUAUCUAACAUUUUUUUCUUGCAUGGCGCCGUCUCACAAAUUUGUCUCUGAGGAUGCUACACCUUCUUUCUUUCUUCAUCCUAGUGACAUCCCUGGUGUUCUCAUCGUCAUUAACCCCUUGUCGGUGACAACUACCAUGCUUGGUCUUGAUCGAUGUCCAUGGCGCUUUUGACGAAGAACAAACUCGGUUUUGUCGAUGGAUCUCUCACCAUGCCUUCAGAAUCUACAGAUCCUCUUAUUUCUCCAUGGUUCCGAUGCAAUAAUAUGAACCUGACUCGUUGGUGACUGAUUAGAGUGGGUAGAAAGCAAAGGACUUUAUAUACUAUAACAAUCAGGCUCUUUUUUUUUCCUAAACAUACUUCAAAUACUGCCUGCUUACUUGAUAACAUGCAUUUACAUGCUUGUUCUAUAUCAUCCAAAAGCUCCAAAUAUGAGUUUUGGCAUAAUAGACUUGGUCAUCCUUCUAAUUCUAGGAUGAUAUUUGUGAAUAAAUUUGUUCUACAUUUUAUUGUUGCAUGCAAUCCUUGUAUGGUUUGUCCAUUAGCUAAACAAAGAAAAUUACAUUUUCCUAAUAA